AGUGAACGCUGGCGGUAGGCCUAACACAUGCAAGUCGAACGGCAGCACAGUAAGAGCUUGCUCUUACGGGUGGCGAGUGGCGGACGGGUGAGGAAUACAUCGGAAUCUACUUUUUCGUGGGGGAUAACGUAGGGAAACUUACGCUAAUACCGCAUACGACCUACGGGUGAAAGCAUGGGAUCUUCGGACCUUUCGCGAUUGAAUGAGCCGAUGUCGGAUUAGCUAGUUGGCUGGGUAAAGGCCCACCAAGGCGACGAUCCGUAGCUGGUCUGAGAGGAUGAUCAGCCACACUGGAACUGAGACACGGUCCAGACUCCUAAGGGAGGCAGCAGUGGGGAAUAUUGGACAAUGGGCGCAAGCCUGAUCCAGCCAUACCGCGUGGGUGAAGAAGGCCUUAGGGUUGUAAAGCCCUUUUGUUGGGAAAGAAAAGCAGCAGGUUAAUACCCCGCUGUUCUGACGGUACCCAAAGAAUAAGCACCGGCUAACUUCGUG
rnacentral:rRNA from 1 species